rnacentral:piRNA from 1 species
GUUUGAUGGAAAGAGUCUGGUCU